rnacentral:tRNA from 1 species
GCGGCUGUAGCUCAGUGGAUAGAGUAUUGGCCUCCGAAGCCAAGGGUCGUAGGUUCGAUUCCUACCAGCCGCACCA